rnacentral:rRNA from 1 species
GACGAACGCUGGCGGCGUGCUUAACACAUGCAAGUCGAACGGAAAGGCCCUGCUUUUGUGGGGUGCUCGAGUGGCGAACGGGUGAGUAACACGUGAGUAACCUGCCCUUGACUUUGGGAUAACUUCAGGAAACUGGGGCUAAUACCGGAUAGGAGCUCCUGCUGCAUGGUGGGGGUUGGAAAGUUUCGGCGGUUGGGGAUGGACUCGCGGCUUAUCAGCUUGUUGGUUGGGUAGUUGCUUACCAAGGCUUUGACGGGUAGCCGGCCUGAGAGGGUGAACGGCGACAUUGGGACUGAGAUACGGACCAGACGGCUACGGGAGGCAGCAGUGGGGAAUAUUGCACAAUGGGCGGAAGCCUGAUGCAGCAACGCCGCGUGCGGGAUGACGGCCUUCGGGUUGUAAACCGCUUUAGCCUGUGACGAAGCGUGAGUGACGGUAAUGGGUAAAGAAGCACCGGCUAACUACGUG